UGGGGAAUAUUGGACAAUGGGCGAAAGCCUGAUCCAGCCAUGCCGCGUGUGUGAAGAAGGCCUUUUGGUUGUAAAGCACUUUAAGCGAGGAGGAUGCUACUUAGAUUAAUACUCUAGGAUAGUGGACGUUACUCGCAGAAUAAGCACCGGCUAACUCUGUGCCAGCAGCCGCGGUAAUACAGAGGGUGCGAGCGUUAAUCGGAUUUACUGGGCGUAAAGCGUGCGUAGGCGGCUUUUUAAGUCGGAUGUGAAAUCCCUGAGCUUAACUUAGGAAUUGAAUUCGAUACUGGGAAGCUAGAGUAUGGGAGAGGAUGGUAGAAUUCCAGGUGUAGCGGUGAAAUGCGUAGAGAUCUGGAGGAAUACCGAUGGCGAAGGCAGCCAUCUGGCCUAAUACUGACGCUGAGGUACGAAAGCAUGGGGAGCAAACAGG
rnacentral:rRNA from 1 species